GAUGAACGCUGGCGGCGUGCCUAAUACAUGCAAGUCGAGCGAACAGACGAGGAGCUUGCUCCUCUGACGUUAGCGGCGGGCGGGUGAGUAACACGUGGAUAACCUACCUAUAAGACUGGGAUAACUUCGGGAAACCGGAGCUAAUACCGGAUAAUAUAUUGAACCGCAUGGUUCAAUAGUGAAAGACGGUUUUGCUGUCACUUAUAGCUGGAUCUGCGCCGGAUUAGCUAGUUGGUAAGGUAACGGCUUACCAAGGCAACGAUGCGUAGCCGACCUGAGAGGGUGAUCGGCCACACUGGAGCGGAGACACGGUCAAGACGACUGCGGGACGCAGCAGUAGGGAAUGUUCCGCAACGGGCGAAAGCCUGACGGAGCAACGCCGAGUGAGUGAUGAAGGUCUUCGGAUCGUAAAACUCUGUUAUUAGGGAAGAACAAAUGUGUAAGUAAAUAUGCACGUCUUGACGGUACCUAAUCAGAAAGCCACGGCUAACUACGUG
rnacentral:rRNA from 1 species